AGAGUUUGAUCAUGGCUCAGAUUGAACGCUGGCGGCAUGCCUUACACAUGCAAGUCGAACGGCAGCACGGACUUCGGUCGGGUGGCGAGUGGCGAACGGGUGAGUAAUACAUCGGAACGUGUCCUGGAGUGGGGGAUAGCCCGGCGAAAGCCGGAUUAAUACCGCAUACGCUCUGAGGUGGAAAGCGGGGGAUCUUCGGACCUCGCGCUCAAGGGGCGGCCGAUGGCAGAUUAGCUAGUUGGUGGGGUAAAGGCCUACCAAGGCGACGAUCUGUAGCUGGUCUGAGAGGACGACCAGCCACACUGGGACUGAGACACGGCCCAGACUCCUACGGGAGGCAGCAGUGGGGAAUUUUGGACAAUGGGCGCAAGCCUGAUCCAGCAAUGCCGCGUGUGUGAAGAAGGCCUUCGGGUUGUAAAGCACUUUUGUCCGGAAAGAAAACCUCUGCCCUAAUACGGCGGGGGGAUGACGGUACCGGAAGAAUAAGCACCGGCUAACUACGUGCCAGCAGCCGCGGUAAUACGUAGGGUGCAAGCGUUAAUCGGAAUUACUGGGCGUAAAGCGUGCGCAGGCGGUCCGUUAAGACAGAUGUGAAAUCCCCGGGCUUAACCUGGGAACUGCAUUUGUGACUGGCGGACUCGAGUAUGGCAGAGGGGGGUAGAAUUCCACGUAGCAGUGAAAUGCGUAGAGAUGUGGAGGAAUACCGAUGGCGAAGGCAGCCCCCUGGGCCAAUACUGACGCUCAUGCACGAAAGCGUGGGGAGCAAACAGGAUUAGAUACCCUAGUAGUCC
rnacentral:rRNA from 1 species